rnacentral:rRNA from 1 species
AGAGACAGCAGCAGCCGCGGGAAUACGUAGGUCCCGAGCGUUGUCCGGAUUUAUUGGGCGUAAAGCGAGCGCAGGCGGUUAGAUAAGUCUGAAGUUAAAGGCUGUGGCUUAACCAUAGUACGCUUUGGAAACUGUUUAACUUGAGUGCAAGAGGGGAGAGUGGAAUUCCAUGUGUAGCGGUGAAAUGCGUAGAUAUAUGGAGGAACACCGGUGGCGAAAGCGGCUCUCUGGCUUGUGACUGACGCUGAGGCUCGAAAGCGUGGGGAGCAAACAGGAUUAGAUACCCGCGUAGUCCCUGUCUCUUAUACC